rnacentral:lncRNA from 1 species
AAUGAGGUAAUAAAAUGGAGAAAAGUGAAAAAGGUUAGGAAAAGGGAGGUGGCCAGCUUCUUAGUAAUUUUAGGUGUGAAUGGGUGUUUUAAUUGAUAAUUAAGGGAUUGAUUAGGUAAUUAAUCCCUUAAUUAAUCAAUUUUUAGGGAAUAUGAAAGGAAAAUAUUAUUUAGCUAAUUGAUUAGCUAAAUAAUGGAAUACAAAAUAUAUAGAAUAAAUUAGGUUUUAGGAAUUACCUUAUAGAAAUGAUUUAAUGAAAUAGGCUUUAAAUUGUUACCUAUUUUGGGUACUUUUGACUUGGUUGAGGAUAAUUGUCCACCGCUCGUGCGUAGGAAUCUCGGUAUGCCUCAAGGGUAUUUUUGUCCUCUUCUACCCAAAAAUCCACGUGUCGCCUUGUGAUUAUUUUUGGCUUCACAAAUGCCCCCCACACCUGUUAGGCUACUCACAGGAAAGGGCAGCAGGUGUAGAGAUCUUCUUGCUUUAGGAAACUUAAGACUGCUUCCUAUUUUGAUGUUGAUUAUCUCUUUAAUAGGAAAUUAGAUCCUUUUAGGAAAGGGAAAUAAAUUUCUCUCAAAGCUUAUUUAAGUCCACCUUAAGUGGGUUAUUAAAUCAACUUUAGAGAGCGAUUUAUUCUACCCUACAAGAGAGAGAUAGCUUAGAGGAUAUUUGUUCCCCCUCUUCUAGUAAUCUUCUACAUCUUGCCCGUGCAAAUGACCGUCUUUCGUUACUUUUUUCGUCUUCUUCGUGCCGCACUGAGGUAAGAAAAAAUUAAUUUUCCUUGUCUUCUUCUUGGAUGGUGCUAUCGCGGGGCAGCCGUCAGGGUGAUGCGGCAUAUCGACUAGCAUGGGCCAGGAGACGGCUCGGCAUAGACCGAUAAGGUAUUGUGGCAGGGACCACUGCUUUAAGCUGCUCUACUUAGCUAGAACCAAGGGUAGCUUGUGUGGUUGGGGCCACGGAUUGUGGCGUUGGGGCGCAGUACUAGGCGAGUCACAUGGCUCAUGUUCUUUUAGGCUGUUGGACAUGACGCGAGCUAGGCCGGUGAUUGAGAGAAAUGAAGAGGUUGUGGGCCUCAUUAGCUGCUGGAAUAUUGGGUUGAACUCCCCUGCUAGGUACCACGAAUGGUGUUGGCUACUUUAACUCUCUUCGUCAGGAGAAACGUGGGCUGCUUCCAAAAGAUGAAGUGAAUAGGAUCAAGGAGGAUGCAUUGGCUCGUCCAAUCACUGUUGUGGAUCCUGCUGCAAGUGAAUGUGGGAAAAUGGAUCUUCCCUGCCUGCUCAAGAGAUGCUGGCUGAGAAAAAACCAAAGACUUUUUUUGCUACUCACGCGGGUUCACCGACUGCUUCCAGGCUUGUGAUUGACUUACUUUUUCCAAGGGGAUGAAAAAUGAGGCUGCUAGAUUUGAGCAUGUGGCGCCUGUGCCAAGUUUGUUGAUGGCGUCAGAAAGGUUGUUUGCCCAAGCUCAUUUGCGAAGCAUACAAUCCAAUAUAUAAUGACUGUUCUGCUUGCUAUGAUGUAGAUAUAGCAAGGCUGCUAAGGAGAUGGCAAAUGCUAUGGCAGAUUCUGAGCUCGUUGCUUUGAAGGGGUCUAAUAUUUUGCCCCCACUUCUAUGCAGCUUGAGACCGCUCACCAAGAGAUCGUUGACUUGAAGACUAGGCUUGACGUGAUCCAAGUUAAGCAUGAAAGUGCAGAGAAGAAGAUCGGAUGUCAUAUACCUUAGAUUCAAGAUCUUAAGCAUGUCGUUUCUGAGCUUCGUUCUGCUGCAAAGGAUGAAGAGUUGAUUGCUGCUUAUAACCAAGUGAUCCACUUCAAGAGAAUCAUCGAUAAACUUGAACCCCAAGUGUUGGAACUUCAAGGUGUACUAAAAGUCUGAAGAAGGAAGUGGAUGAGAUGCAAAGCAUCCAUGUUGGUCUGCUCGAGGAGGAUGAGUAACUGAAAGGUGAAAAGGCUGGGCUCGAGGUUUCGAGACUUUCUCUAUUUCUCCGGAAGACUUGCUUGAUUUUACUUUUGAGGCCUCCAUUGGUGAAGUAGUUGGAGAAGUGAGUGCCCAAGCUAGGGUAGCAGGGGGUGAAGGGCCGGAUGAUACCACUGCUAAGAGCGUCGCGGCUGCUAAAAGUGUGGUGACCGAGUAGUCAUGGGAUGUCCAAGCUGCUAUAGUCUUCUAGGUAGCCUUUAGGAUUUUAUUUGUUUUUCCUUGUAGCUCUUGUUUUGCUUGAACUCAUUCGGCCUUUGCUAGUUGUUUAUAAACAUUUUUUCCUUCGUUUUUCUUCAUCUUCGCUUCUUUUGUUCAUGCCCUAACCUUUAGACUUGAUAGACCAGUGGCAGGCAUGCUACUUUUUUAUAAGCAGACAAGCUCGCGUAGCCUAUGUAGCAGUAGGUGUUGGUGUAGAACUUUGCAAAGUUGUUAGCCAUAGGGUUGGCAGCCGGAUGCCUUACUUACAGAAGCAGACAAAUACGCCUAACCAUUAGGCUGUUAACCUUGGCUUUCUCCAAUUCCGUAGGUUGUGUAACAAGUAUCACAACACUUUAGGACUUGGUGUAUGUUGUUUUGCGCUUGGCAGAGGUGAAGCUUAUCGACUAUGUAACAUGUCGACAGUGGAUAAAACUUCGUAUAUGCGCGUUAGCUUGUUUAACCUUUCACAAGAAUGUGCGGUUGUAUAAGUCUAGCGCGGCUUUACUGCUUGAAGGGCAAGCUGUAGGCACUCUUCCAGAAUCCGUAGGCUACCUUAGUGCACUCAGUAACAGCUUUAGGGUUCCAGGGCAGCCGUCUGUAGGGAGUACUACGUAAUGUGCCCCUUCUGUCUCUAGGGCUCGGUUCCCCACGGAUUAGGCUAAGAGACCAAAAAUCCUUCAGUUAGCUAAGUCUUGACAAAGACCAUUGUGGCUAUUUCUAGGAAUCCCAGCGCAAGCCAUCAUGCAUCUAGUUAUACUAGGGCAGCUAGGCUCAUCCACGUCUGGAUAUUCGGAGUGUAAAAUUUAUGCUCUUGUCUUGGAAAACUGACCCAUAUGGGUGUUAGGGAAUUGGUUUACCCUCUCGCACUGGAGAGCAUGGUUGGUCCCUCGGGGGGUGUAAUUCCUGCGAUGAGUCCCUAAGUAGGGCGCAGUCUUCUUUUGAAGUGCAUGAGUGAUCAGUUGUUGUAAGUAUGCAACCGAGCCAAUUUGUGAUUACUUCUUAAUUCCUCAUUGAAAAAACGAGUGAAACGAACAAGAACUUAGCUGUAAGGUAGAAACUGCAUAACAACUGGAUAGUCAUCAGCUUGUGAGGUGGUGCCCGUCGAGCUUCUUGAGUCUUCGGGUUUUGAUGUAGCAGGAGGUCACACAUGGUACUUCUUCAGAUUGUAGGCCAUCCACUGUCUUUCGAUCUUUUUUCCAUUUCAUGGUGGCGAGGGUAUAAUUACUCUUGCCGCCUUCUCUGCUGAUCUUGUACAAACCUUCCCAGAUGAUAUUCAUCUUUUUGAAGCCUUCUCUGCGGGCAGUGAUGAAGGCCUUAAGACUAGAUAUUUGGGUUGGAAUUGUCAGAUCUUAGCCUUUUUGUUGUAACUAGAGAGGAACUGCUGCUGGUAAGCAGCGAUGCGGGUGAUAAUCUGCUCGCACUUCUCCUCUGCCAGAUUUUAGCUUGUAGCCAUCUCCUUUCAGUUGCUCAUCUUUUGGUGGUACGAUAUGCCGAUAGACAUCAUUGGAGUUCGUCUGACCAUUUUCUUUUCUUAUUGGUGGGGGAUUUCUUAUGGCAGUUGAGGAUCAUCUUAAUGGAUGCUUUGGCCUACCUAUUGCCUUGAUGAUAUCUUGGCGUAAACAUGUGCUGCUUUAUGCCAUAUUUUUGGAAGAAUUUCGCCAAAUCUUUGCCCACGAAUUGCGGGCCGUUGUCGGUGAUGAUGGAUUAAGGGAUGCCAAAUCGGCAAAUGAUGCUCCUUAAUAUGAAACGCUCUAUGUCUGUUUGAACUAUGAUCGUCAUGGGCUCUGCUUCUACUUAUUUGGUGAAGUAGUCGGUUGCCACGUCAUCAUGCCUUUGCCCCUAGUAGUCUGGCUGGUAAUUAGCUAGGACUCGAAAUGAAUUGAAAUCUUUUUCACCACCAAGUCUUUUGUCAUUCGAAGGCCUGCUAGUGGGGCUUCGUACUCUGUUUCGUUGUUAGAUGCUUUGAAGCUUAAAGUGAUUGCCUGCUCGAGCAUUGAAACGUUUGGGGUGGCAAGAACCACAGCUGCUCACGAGCCUUCGUAGUUGGAUGCGCCGUCUACAUGCAAACCCCAGAAAUCUUCAUUGAGGGAGCAUGUGUGGCUAAAGUGUGCUCGGUUGCCUUUUGGGGGUCGUUGGGCUUCUCUAUUGCAUUGUCAAGGCUAGGCUUGAAGGCGCAGUAGGAAGCUGUGGAGCUGGGGCCAUGUUACAUGUAGCAUGAGAUGCUCAACUUCCGGUAUUAAGCCACUCUAGAGCUGAAUAAUGGAGCAAGGGUCGGCUAGGGCCGUGUGACGCGCAGCAAGAGGUAGUGUUCGACUGCCAGUACAUGUUGUUCUUACGUAGAAUAUUCUAGGGUGACGAUGAUAAAACUUGCUUUUGAGUGUUCAUUCUGGUGUUCGUCUGCCUUUGGCAUGUCUUUUGAGCUGAGUUGUUGCGUUCGUCAGAAAACUUUGCAUCUGUCAGGGUCUACACCUUUAUCAUCGCGGGUUUAGAUUCGACGGAAUAGUACGUCAUGAUGAUGACUGCGUGCGUUUGAAGGUAAAACUUAAGCUUUUGGGUUACAAUAACUAUCGCCAAAGUUAGCUUUUGAAUUUUUAAUAGCAUCGAUGUGAGCUUUUGAAUUGUAGAAUACAGGUAGUUGGGCCACCAGCUCUUUUUGCAUGAUGGUAGAGCUUAUUGCUACUUUAGAUACCGUCAUACAUGCGAAUAAGUCAUCCGCUGCUCUAAGGAGGUGAUGUUGGGUACUUCUUCAAGUCUUUGAAUGUGCAUUGGCGAGCCUCAUCCCAAAGUGCAUGCUUCUCUGCCAAAGCAAAAGAGUCUGCCAGAGUUAGAUCUUCUUUCAUGAUCAAUUUUCCGAAUAGCAAGUGGUCUGCUGGAAGGCCUUUUUGGAAGGCUACUCUAGCUAUCGAGUCGUUGCAUUUGACUAUUCUUGCCUUCUUUGCUUUAAAUCUCCUCACAUAGUCACGAAGUGACUCAUUUGGGUUCUUCUUGACGUCAAACAAAUGGUCGGACUUCUUUUUUAUCGAGCGAUAGGAUAAAUAUUCUUAGGUGAAAACCAAAGAAAGUUCGUAGAAAUUCCGGAUGGAUUGUGGCGGCAGGGUGUAGAACCAAUCUUGCGCUUCACCCUGUAGAGUGGUGGCGAAUAUCUUGCACAUGAGAUCAUCGUUGUUUCGAUAAAGGAUCAUUGCGCUUCGAUAGCGCUUUAAGUAUCUCUCCGGGUCUUCAUCCUCUUUGAAAGAUGUGAAAUGUGGCAUGCUGAACUAGCGUAGAGGCUCUGCCUGCUCGAUCUCAUCCGUGAAUGGUGACCUGCUUAUGUUGGUUAUGUUCCAUCGUAGUGCCUCGUCAGUGACCUCGUUGCAUUGGAAAUCGUACAAUCGCUUGGUCAAGAGUCUCUCUACUUCUUCCUGAAUUUGCCUUUGUUGGGGGUAGCGGAGCUCUCAGCUGCCCCCAACCAUGACUUGCUGGUCUAGGCUGCUCUUCCAUGUGUUUGGCUUGUCUAUACCACGGAUGCAGUGCAUGUGGUGCGUUCCUAGCAGGCGAGCGAGUUCUUCGCAGGUUGAUGGUUGAACUUGAGCUGGAUUGAGCGACUGCUUCUCUCCGUCCAUCGUGCUGCCUACUCUGAUGUGAGGUGGAUGAUGCUCAUUACGGGCUUAGCCGCGAAUGAACACUUUGCCCAGAAGGUUGCUCAUGUUGACUAUUGGAGUGUGACCCCAACCGUGAAUGUAUGCUCACCCGUGGGCCUAAUCGAUAGUGCACGCUCCUCCACACGCUAAGACGAGAGUAUACGCUAUCUCGGGAGCCCAAUCGGGAGUGUACACUGCCCGAACGCUAGGCUCGUGGCUAGUCGAGUGGCUGCUUGUCGAGAUGCUACUGGAAAGGUUCGUCUGCCUUUGUCCUACUUCGGGAUACCUCGUCCGGGGAAAGUUGGAUCCUGGUGCGUUGCAAAAGUUGAUUCACCAAGGUUGUCUGUUGUGCAAGGGCAUUCGUUAACUCUACGACUUGUCGAAACAAGUGUUGUUCGCCAUUUGGAUUGGAAGAGCUUGGAAGGAAUGUGCCUCCUUGGGCAGUGGAAGGGUGGUAGACUCUGGGCUUGAGAUUUGAGUUGGGAAAUGUCAAAUUCAUGAAAAAAUGUGGUGAGAAUGCCUCCGGCUCGAUGGUAAGUCAAGAUGGUUGAGAUAGUCUUGGGCCGACUUGGGCUCUUAGAAAGCCACGGGAGCAGACUGGGCCGCGGGAGCAAGCUGGGCCACGAGAAUGGGUUGCUCGGCGGGAAUGGGUUGUUCUUCGGGAGCAGGCUAGGCCACGAGAGUGAGCUGCUAAGCGGGAGCAGAUUGCUCGGAGUGUGAUGCACAUGAAUGCGAGGCUUAUGCUCGGCUUGGCAACACAUUGAGUUCGUGUUGGGCUUGGAGUUACAUGGCUUGGGCUGUGGCCUUAGUGCUGUGAGCCUUGGAAGGCACGGCUCGAGCCGUGGUAGCGGUGCCAUGGACCUUGCCGCGGGUAGUGGUCACCGCGAAUGUUGCCAUGGUGGAGCCCCGUAGCGAUGGUGCCGCUCCUAUGGUCACAUUUAGCCUCGUGGAUCGCCGUGGUCCCAUUUCUUGAAUAUUAGAAUUUUCACUUGUGAAAUUUUCUAAAUUUCUAGCCAUUAUAUUUUUCUUAUACGUUUUAUCAAAGAACCUUUGCAAAUAAAAAAUUCUAAUAAUAAGAACGUAUGAAAAAAAUAUUCAAAUGAACUAGAAAAUAGAGAAAAACCUUUUUAUGCGAGAGUCUUCUACGAGUAUGGAUCUCAACUCUCAAUGAAAGUACCAAUUUGUGGAUGCAAAUUUCUUCCUCGAUCUUUGACAAUUUUACACCUACAAAACAAUUAACACCUUAGGUUAAGGUCAAGAGCCUCACGCGCCCACGAUGAAUGGGGGGCUUUGGUCGAAGAACCUCCGAUGCCAAAGUUAGAAUUUAGAGAGAAAGAGUGUUUAGAGAAUUUUGGGAUUUUUGCCAAAGUGUUGGAAUGGAUUUUUGGUGAGAAUGGGAUCACUUCUAUAGGGAUAGGAAGUGGCGGGCCUAGCUAGGGUUUUUGGGUUUAAUUUAGGUUUAAUUAGUCAAUUUAUUUGGCUAAUUAAACCCUAAAGAAUAAAUUGGUGGUUACAAAAUUGAUUAUUUGUAUAAAUGGGGUAAUAAAAUGGAGAAAAGUGAAAAAGGUUAGGAAAGGGAGGUGGCCGGCUUCUUAGUAGUUUUAGGUGUGAAUGGGUGUUUUAAUUGAUAAUUAAGGGAUUGAUUAGGUAAUUAAUCCCUUAAUUAAUCAAUUUUUAGGGAAUAUGAAAGGAAAAUAUUAUUUAGCUAAUUGAUUAGCUAAAUAAUGGAAUACAAAAUAUAUAGAAUAAAUUAGGUUUUAGGAAUUACCUUAUAGAAAGGAUUUGAUGAAAUAGGCUUUAAAUUGUUACCUAUUUUGGGCACAUUUGACUUGGUUGAGGAUGAUUGUCCGCCGCUCGCACGUAGGAAUCUCGGUAUGCCUCAAGGGUAUUUUUGUCAUCUUUUACCCAAAAAUCCACGUGUCGCCUUGUGAUUAUUUUUGGCUCCACAAUGAACAUACACCUUUUUUUAGCCUUAGGCCCUUAUGUUUAAUUUUGUCUAUUGUUUUUGUUUAAUUUAUCCAAUUCAAUGACAAAAAAUAAAAAGAGGUUUUUGAGACGCUAACAAUAUUUUGAAAAUCACAUGCCAAUAAGCAAAUCUAUUAUUAAAACUAACACAAACUUCAAAACUAAAACACAUGAUCAAUUAAGAAAUACUCAAGUCAAUUUCAUAAUAGCAGUAAAAACAUAAAACAUCUAAAUUUACUAUGCCAAUUUAAUGAAGAAUUGUAUUAUAAUAAAUGUCAAAUGCCUUACAUGAAUGAAAUUGUUGGAACCUCAAAGUAAUUAAAUGAUCUCAUUUAUUUUUGGAUUUAAUUAAGAGCAGUACUAUGAGUAUUGACAUAUGUAAUUAAGAGCAGUACUAUGAAUAUUGACUUAUGUGAGAGAAAUAAUCCAAUUUCCUUUUUCCCUAUUAGACAAUUUUCUAGUUAUUUAUUAUUGAAGAAAUUAUGUAUUAUAUCAUAUUGGAAAACUUUAGUUCCAGUUUCUAAUUGACUAAAAUCUUAGAUUGAAGCCUUAUUAAUUUGAAUAUUUUGAUUGAAAGACAAAAUGUUAAAUUUUAGUAUAUUAAUUAAGAUACGAAAUAGGAAUUUUCAAUUUUUUUCCUUCAAAAUUGUGUGAAAUUUGAUCUAAUUUUCUUUAAAUGAUGAGUUUUAAUUUAUAGAAAAUGGGUACAUUUUACAUAAGAAAAUUUUGGUACAUUUUACAUACAUAUAAUAAUGACACACCCCGACCGAGAUCAAAGCAUCCUGGUCGUCACAUGAGAAUGACGUAGCCAUGUGCACAUUGCGGAAGCGAUAAAGAUAAGAGUCAUACGAAUAAAAAAACCGAAAGCUACUAAAGUGCACUAAUAGACAAUAAGUGCUAGGAGUGAAAUACGAGUGUAAUUACUCUAUUCUAGGUGCAGUCUAUUAGGACAAGUACUAAUUAUACAAUACCAUAAGAUGUCCUACAAUUAUUUUGAUAUGUCAGAACCGCCAGAAUCCUCUUACGCCACCAACAGUAGUCACCUAAAACCUAGAGGGGCGCAAAACAGAAAGUGUGAGUGGGCAAAAACAAAUGUUUUACAAAACCAUUUCAGUUCUCAAAGUUCUAACCCCUCGCUGUAAAACAUGUAUAAUUUUCCCAGAAGUGGAAUAUAAACAUAUGCAUAAAUAUAUAUAUGUAAGUAUAACAAUUCAAAUCAUGCUUCACAUAUUCAUAAUCAUAAGUAUGCCAUGCCAAGAUAUAAUAGAGUAAGUAAUUCAGGUGAGAAUAAAUUCAUGGGAAUAUAUCAUGUUAGCCGGAACCACUAAGGAGGUCUGUACGGCUGAAUUCAUAGCUCAAUAAUCAAAUCU